rnacentral:rRNA from 1 species
GAUGAACGCUGGCGGCGUGCUUAACACAUGCAAGUCGAGCGAUGAAGUUUCCUUCGGGAAACGGAUUAGCGGCGGACGGGUGAGUAACACGUGGGUAACCUGCCUCAUAGAGUGGAAUAGCCUUCCGAAAGGAAGAUUAAUACCGCAUAACGUUGAAAGAUGGCAUCAUCAUUUAACCAAAGGAGCAAUCCGCUAUGAGAUGGACCCGCGGCGCAUUAGCUAGUUGGUGGGGUAACGGCCUACCAAGGCGACGAUGCGUAGCCGACCUGAGAGGGUGAUCGGCCACAUUGGGACUGAGACACGGCCCAGACUCCUACGGGAGGCAGCAGUGGGGAAUAUUGCACAAUGGGGGGAACCCUGAUGCAGCAACGCCGCGUGAGUGAUGAAGGUUUUCGGAUCGUAAAGCUCUGUCUUUGGGGAAGAUAAUGACGGUACCCAAGGAGGAAGCCACGGCUAACUACGUGCCAGCCGCCGCCGUAAAAC